rnacentral:rRNA from 1 species
UACAGAGGCCUCGAGCGUUAAUCGGAGUCACUGGGCUUAAAGGGUGCGUAGGCGGGUCCGCAAGUGCCUUGUGAAAUCCCACGGCUCAACCGUGGAAUGGCUCGGCAGACUGCGGGUCUUGAGGUCGGUAGGGGUCGCUGGAACUCUAGGUGGAGCGGUGAAAUGCGCAGAUAUCAGGAGGAACACCGGUGGCGAAGGCGGGUCUCUGGGCCGAUACUGACGCUGAGGAGCGAAAGCGUGGGGAGCGAACAGG